UACGUAGGGGGCAAGCGUUGUCCGGAUUCAUUGGGCGUAAAGAGCGUGUAGGCGGCCAGGUAGGUCGGUUGUGAAAAACUGGAGGCUCAACCUUCAGAGGUCGACCGAAACCAUCUGGCUAGAGUCCGGGAGAGGAGAGUGGAAUUCCUGGUGUAGCGGUGAAAUGCGCAGAUAUCAGGAGGAACACCAGCGGCGAAGGCGGCGCUCUGGGGCCGAACUGACGCUGAGGAGCGAAAAGCGUGGGUAGCAAAACAGG
rnacentral:rRNA from 1 species